rnacentral:rRNA from 1 species
UACGUAGGGGGCUAGCGUUGUCCGGAUUUACUGGGCGUAAAGAGCGCGCAGGCGGUCGAUUUAGUCGCGUGUGAAAGCCCCCGGCUCAACUGGGGAGGGUCACGCGAUACUGAUCGACUGGAAGGCAGGAGAGGGUGAGUGGAAUUCCCGGUGUAGUGGUGAAAUGCGUAGAUAUCGGGAGGAACACCAGUGGCGAAGGCGACUACCUGGCCUGUUCUUGACACUGAGGCGCGAAAGCUAGGGGAGCA